UGGCGAACGUGUGAGUAACACGUGGGUGAUCUGCCCUGCACUCUGGGAUAAGCCUUGGAAACUGGGUCUAAUACCGGAUAGGACCAUGCUUUAGUGUGUGUGGUGGAAAGUUUUUUCGGUGUAGGAUGAGCCCGCGGCCUAUCAGCUUGUUGGUGGGGUAAUGGCCUACCAAGGCGGCGACGGGUAGCCGGACUGAGAGGUUGGUCGGCCACAUUGGGACUGAGAUACGGCCCAG
rnacentral:rRNA from 1 species